CUCUUCCCAUCUGUCUAGUGGUGUGAAGUCUGGUGAACGUGGAGGGUAUUUGACAAAACCUCUCUGUCCAAUCCACCUGUUUGGCAAGAUCCCAUCAAGAAAGGAUCUAACAUCGCGAUGGUAGUGUGGAGGUGCCCCAUCUUGCUGGAAAUAAAACUCUUCCUGU